rnacentral:snRNA from 1 species
UCGCUUUGGCAGUGAAUGUACUAAAACUGGAAUGAUACAGAGAAGAUCAGCAUGGCCCCUGUGCAUGGAUGAUUCUCAGCUAUGGGGGAAGCGCUAACAUAUA